rnacentral:rRNA from 1 species
UACGUAGGGAGCGAGCGUUAUCCGGAAUUAUUGGGCGUAAAGGGUGCGUAGGUGGCCAUAAAAGUUUCUUGUUAAAGUGCUAAGCUCAACUUAGUGAUGCAAGAGAUACUAUAUAGCUAGAGUAUGGAAGAGGCAAGUGGAACUCCAUGUGUAACGGUAAAAUGCGUAAAUAUAUGGAAGAACACCAGUGGCGAAGGCGGCUUGCUGGUCCGAUACUGACAUUGAGGCACGAAAGCGUGGGAAGCAAACA